UAGAGUGCGAUAGGAUAGGGUAGAGUAGGGUGGGGUAGGACAGGAGAAGAUAAUUUAGAAAUAAUAAAAUUAAUUUCUGCCCUUGUGCUUAUAUUACAGUUAAAUAACUUUUGGUUUUGCCUCAGGAACACGUUCCAGCCUUGCCUUAUCACUCAGGAUAAGAAGAUUCCCAGGACAUGCUCAUCAUGGACAGGAUCCAGCGUUCCCCUUUGGAGGGCCAUGUUCUGAAUGCACACAGCGGGAACCACAUGGUUCAAGUACUACAACACAGGCUCACUCCCUGCAGUAUGAAAUUAACUGUGGUCAAGAGAAAUAGGAGGAGACAAAUGGAUUUCUAAAGACUUUGGAAGAAUUUGUAACUUCUGAUAGAAAACUGGGUGACUUAGAAAAGGACGGGAAGAUAAUGUGAGGGGGAGGAGAUAGGAGCUGGAAAUCUCUAGAAGGAAAAAAAAAUGCUGUUCUCAUAAAUGACUUUUUAUAUGCCUAGUAUAUUGGAUCUUAAAAGUUUGAUUUUAGUAUGAUUUCGUGCACCUUCACAGAGCUGCUGGGCGACUGUGUCUACUGCGUUCCGGGUGUAGACAUGAGAAGAAGGAGUAGAGAAAGCCCUUCUAGUUUCAGAUCUAAACCAUGCUCUUUAGUCUACAUUUGCCAGCCACAAGUUGGUAUUUUGUUUCUGCCUUUGGUGUAUACCCCCUGUUUCCAAAUUGUUAAAAGACUGUGUUCUUAAAAGAAGGUAAAAUUGUAACUCUCAUCCAAAUAAAAAUGACUGUGUGUCAGUGUAACAACCAGUAAGAAAAUUUGAAGUACUACAUAUUUAUAAUCAAUCUGGAAUGCUGAAGU